AGGCCCCAGCACAGAGAAGGUGCAGAGUGUCUUUUUAUUCAAAAAAGUGGGGGAGGAGGGAAUUUGGUUUUGCUUGGCUUUAUUUUUUUUUUUUUUUUUUGGUUGAAGCAGGGAGUGAGGGGACACUUACAGCAGAAGCAGACCGGGAAGCAGGACCUGGCUUGCCUCUCUCAGAGUCCCCUCCCUUUCUACCAGUGGCCCUUGGUACAUGGGAAGUUAUGCAUUUUAUACUCCGUGUGUGUGUGUGUGUGUGUGUGUGUGUGUGUGUGAACAAUGAGAAGGUAGCUCUCUGGUGAGGAUUAUGAGCAGUGGUCCUUGGGACCAGAGUUGUGGUCAUGGUAGAAAACUGUAGGACAAUAGGGUGCCUUCAGAAUCAAGGUGGCCACAGAGUACCAGAGUCUUGGUGUGGACAUCAGAAGUCACUGGACUCUUCUUCCCUCCCCAGAGCUGAGGCAUUUUGGUGCUUUCUCAGGGUCCUUCCUCACUUACGUCCCCGCGAACCUCAUUCAUGGAAACCCCCUGUCAAUCUCACCCCCUUGACCUUCCUUCUUCUGCCUUCUCCCAAUCCACUUCCUACCACCUGGGAUUCUUCUCAGCCCAUGAGCUUCAUUGAACCCUUCUAGCGCCUAAGAUUUACCACUUCCCAAACAGAGAAGGAAAGGAAACCCCUGGUGUUUCAUGUGUGCCUGGUCGUGGAGAUAGAGGCUGGACAGUUCCUACUCAGAGCCCACCUUGAGCGGAGCCUGGAGGGGACAGGCUGCUGAGGCUUCUACUGGUAGCACGGUGGGUGCUGGGAGCGUGUCCUCCCUCAGGUCCCAGCUGGUCCCGUUGAGCUCCCAGAACGGGAGGGGAGGUCCACAAGCAGGUGGGACAUGCUAAUGCUGGAAAGUUUCUAUAGUUGACGGCUGAGGAAGCCUAACCACAGAGCAUCCUUCCAAACCCUGACUGCUGUGUGAAUUUAUUCCUGGGGAUGUCAGGGUCCUGGAGUGUCAGAGCUAAUCAGGACAGAGUUAGGUGUCUGACUAGUGAGGGGUUCUGGAUGCUUCUGGGGCUAUGAGUUUUCAUUCCAAAGUCUGUUCCAGAGAGAGCAAAGUGCUUAGUCGAGAGCAGCAUUUUUACAGAGGGACUGAAACUAUGAAAAUCCAAACUCAGAGCCACUCAGAAACUAGGACGAGGGCCAAGGCUGCUUUCUCCCUGAAUCAUCUUAUGUAGAAGGAAAACCAACUCUGCCAAAGCUACGGGCAGAUUUUUUAGAUUUUGGAAGCAGAAGCUGAGGCCUGGGAGAGGCUGAGCAGGUGCUCGGGGUGAAGGAGAAACCACGGUCCUGGAGCUUCUUGGCUGGAGGUUGGAUGACAGGGAUCAGGCCACAGUUUCAGGUCCUGGUCUUCUUUCUUAUCAAGAAACCAUACACAGCGUGUGUCUCUGCAGAAUCAGAUUUGGGAGAUUUUGCUGGCCCCAGGCUUCAGGGAGAGAAGAGGGGUGGCUGCAGGGUCUCUCAUAAACUGGCCUCUAUGUGAUGGGGUGAGGGCAGGGUGGGUGGGAGACAGCAGAGGCUCUCCCUGGCUGCAGGAGCAAGAGAUUCCUUGUUCCUUUAAUGCUCUAGGCUAUUCUUUGAGUCUUCAGUUCUGAUCUCACCCAACCCUGUAGAGAGAGCCUGUGCACCUCAAGAGGAAGAGAUGAAGCCAGCGACUGCCCUCUUACCCUCUGCCUUCGCCCUUUCCCUCCUCAGGCUGGUUGGGGCCUUUCAUCAGAGCCAUGGGUGGUGGCAGGCAGGGAGCCCUAGGUCCUUAUCCUUGUGGCACAGAGUCCCGUGAUACACAGUGCCAGAUUUGGCAAGUAAAAAUAUAGGAUGAUUGAAUUCAGAAUUUCAGAUAAACAAUACAAUUUUUAAGGAUGUCGUAGGCAAUAUUUGGGACACACCAUACUUAAAAAUGGUUCAUCGUUUAUCUGAAAUUCAAAUUUAACUGGCCAUCCUGUACUGUGUCUGAUGACCCUACCCUAUGACCACAUCCCUCCUCUCCUGCUCAGUCCCAGGGGGCCAGAGGUUGGUCACCACAGAUUUGACCUAACCUGUUUUUUGAAAUGCAAUAUUGAGAAGGGGACACUGUGACUUGAAGAUACAUGAUAUACUUUAUUUUUUAAGCGACAACAAAACCACCUUUUGAAGCCAUUUGAGCCUCAUCCGACCCCUGCCAUGUGCAUUUAGUUAUAUAUUAAAAGAAGAUAGUUAUCUAUAAACAUACGAACAGAAUCUUGUUGAGUCAAGAUGCAUGUCUAUAAACUUCUGUAAAUAGCCGCAUGGCAAUGCUGAGAGUCCCCUCAGUCCCCCAACCUCAGGCCUAUUUUACAGAACUGGUCAAGGCUGCUCCUUCUCUUUUCUGUUGUGUGACGUCUUUGUCCCCAGCUCCACACCCACCCUUCCCCGUUGGGAAUCCCAUAAUGGGAGCUGUCAGGGGAUGGGAACGGGUUUCCAGCCCUGGUGCCGGCCCUGUUGGAGAAGAUGCUGGAGGACACCAUGGCCCCGAAGGCCCCCCGUCUGCGGUGCAUCUAUGGGCAGGGCCAAGGCACGCCGUGUCCCGCCUGCUAUCUGGUGUCCACUGUUUCUGUGUUCCGUGUCCGUGUGUGGCGUGGCUCCCUUCCUCCCGCUGUCUGAAUAACUGAAAAGCCAUAAAGGGGGCCUUCUGCUGGAGACCGCCCUCCGCCCUCCCAGGAGCCCCCGUGUCCCUCCGACAGGCUCCCCAGAGAACACUUGUGAAGGGCUCACUUGUUGUCCUCCCCUCCUGCUUCCUCAGCCCCAUGUCAUGAGGAUGGACGGUGGCCAGGGCUUCUGGUGGGGCCUUGGGAGGUGUCCCUGGCUGGCUGUGGUCUGAUGGCUCCACUCCAUCUCCACGGUGGGACGCCACAGUUCUGCUACUUUCCUGGGGGCCCUGCAGAGUCAACCCAGAGUUUCAGGAGCAGCCAGUCAGCAGCUCAGUCUGUGGUCGGGUUUCCAUUUACAACCUGGAUCCUCAACCAGCCUGGCCUACUGCCACUGAGGUGUCAGGGUCCUUAGAGGGUAAUGGAGGAGGAACUCGUGGGGGGAAACCUAGGGCUGGUAGUGGGUUAGGCUUUAUCCCCAUCUUCCUUUUGCAGCCUGAGAGAGAGCACCCCAAUAGUGUGGUGGCCCUAGGACUGCCAGGCUCCUCCAGAAGUGGUGGGUAGGUGCCGUGGUUAUGGAUGGCUUAGAGGACCCUCAGCAGAACAGGUGUGUCCUGGGCUCUGGCCCUCAUGCUGGCUCCCCCAGCCCCCGCCAGGCAUAGCAAGCAGUAGGGGCCCAAAGCCUUCCAAGGUCCCUGGUUGAAGUGCAGUCCCCAGCCUGCAGCCCCGGGCCCCCAGAGCACAGGAGGGCGGUGAUGCAUGUGAGUAACCCAGGAAGCCUUGGGCCGGAGAAUUGCUUGAGGAGAAUCAGGCGGGUUGUGUUAGACAAGGCCAGAGAUGGCAGAGUGAGCCCUGCCAGUUACAAAUCACAGUACCCGGGCACACAAAAAUCCCAGGGCCAGCUCUCUUGGUCCCUCCCACUUUCCACAGACAGGGAAAUUGAGGCAAGAUUGGAGGGAGGGUCUGUGGUGAGGGGGCAGCAUCCGUGAGGGGGGCAAGGGAGCUUCUGCUGUGCCUACCUUAGCAACCCAGUCUUUAGGGGGUCCUCUUUAGAGAAGCAUGACCAGUAUGCCCUGACCCUGCUCAUCUAAGGACUUGAUUGGUUGCUUUCUAAAAACCCUGGGGCCAGAAAAGUUGAAAACUAGGCCUGGGGCAGAGGGUUGCCUGACCCAGUUCACCCUGGACCAUCUUGCCCCACCAGGAGCCCUCCUGCCCACGACACACGUGCAGCCCUCCCCGCCCGCCCCCGCUUGGCAAUGCCCUCCACCCCCUCAUGUGGACUCUGUUGUUCUUGUCUGAUCUCUUGUCAAAUUGUUAUUUUGUAAUGAGCUGCGUCUCCUUAUUAAAGAAAUGAGUUGAAAGAAACCCGGGGGUGGGGGGUGUCUGUAGUUGUUUCUACCGGCCAUGGUGAGGGUGGGGGAGGCAGGAGCUGCCCCUGAGGGUCAGCACUGUGCAUGAGGGUGACCAGCUGCGUCUGAGGCUCUGGCCUCUACUCUAGUGACUCCCUUCCGGAAGCCUCCCAAGGGCCAAGUCCCAUUCCCUGCUUUUUUGAGUGGGGGAAGACCAGAUGGGCACUGUUGGUUGGUGGAGCCUGAUGUCCUCCUGGGGAAGGCUGUGGUGCUGGGAUCCUCCCCUGGGAGACUGCAGGGUGCCCACAUCCUGGGAUUCCCCUCCAGUCCUGCUUAGGAACAGCCAGCCUGCGUCUGACAAGGAGGCUGGCCCUGAAGUGGGAGUGUGAAGAGAAUUUCUACAGAAUCUUGAAUUACUCCACUACAAAGAAAGAACUCCAGAAGUCUUUGACUCUAAUGAGGCAAAAAUGUUAGGAACUUCAUUGGGGCUUCAGAGUUCUUAGAAAAGAACCCGGUGCAGUGGCGCACUCCUGUCAUCCCAGUGGCUCAUAAGGCUGAGGCAGGAGGAUCGUUAGUUCAAAGCCAGCCUCAGCAACUUAGUUAGGUCCCAAGCAAUUAGUGAGACCCUCUCUCUAGAUAAUAAAAUAUAAAAAAGGGCCAGGGACGUGGUAGCAAAAAAAAAAAAAAAAAGUUUUUAGGAAAGUGUGGGGGCAGUAUUGCCCCUAGGACCAGGAAGGGGCUGGACUCUAUUUCAAGACCUACCCCACCAGUCUCUUCACUUUGAAGACAGGCCAGCCUAUUUUGUUAGUUUAUGCCAUGUGGCACUUGUCCUCUAGGGUUGCCACCUGCUCAAAAGUCAGGUCCAAAUGCAUGAGGGGCAGCAAAGUCAAGGCCGGGAUGGGGCCAACUCAGUGAUGAGCAAGGGCCAGGACCCUGGCAUGUCUACCCCAUCUUGCUGCCUCAGUCCCCGAGGUGGGACGGGCUGGGUGGCUCGGGUGUGUGAAGGGCACUCUCAGCCCAGGACUGGGGCUCCUCGCUGGACCAUUUCCUGGCCGGGAGUGUGACUCGUUGCUCUCCUGCAGGGAGGCCACAUACUGCAGCCCUCCCCGUGCAGCACUGGCCUCAUGACUGCGAGGAGACCGUCUGUGCAGACCUCAAUGCCCACUGGGGGACAUCAGACAUGCUGCUUUGCCUGUUUCGGGCCUCAGGACAGAUCUGAACUCUUCAACCAUGACAUCAUGGAGAGGUUUGAGGUCUCCUGAAUCAAACGACCCAGUGAAAACCCGUAUGUGUACAGCAGAGGACUAGGUGGUGCCCAGAGACUUGCAUGAGCCCAAACAAAGCCCCUCUUCUCUGGACACAGCCUGCCCAAGUAUGAGAGGUCAGUGUGCAUGAGAUGGGAUCAGACUCUCGUCAUGGGUGCUUUCUGCCUUUGAGGAAAUAGCCCUGCUCUUGGUCAUCUGAAACCCUGAUGUCUUCUUACGGUUCUGCUGAACCUUCGAUGUCGGCUUUUCCUGGGCCUGACACACUAAGGAAAUACAUUGGUGCUCUCAGAGACCUGUCCUUAAGGCCGGCCACUCACUUGUGGCUGUCCUGAGAAAAGACCUCCAAGUGGAGGGAGGUGUAGGAAGCUGGUGGGUGAGGCCCCCAUGGGGAGGGGCGUUGACAGAUGUGACAUUCUAUCAGUCUCACUGCACAAAGUUAAAACACAGUUUUAUUUACUCACUUAUAAAUACUGUUGUGUUUACAGGCAUCAUAUAGAUGUGAAUAUUAUUAUUACCAAACUUUCAAACACAGAAUACUUAAUGCUAUAUAAUAACAACCAGUAAAACAAAAUCAUCCAUAUCUCAGGGUUGAAAGGCCACUCAAAAUUGCAUAAAAAUACAUUCAGUUCACAAAGCAAAUCCGGCUUCCCCUCCCGAAAUGGCCCCCUCCCCAGGUGUAUUUACAACAGACUAAAGUUAAUCCACACACCUCAGCUGAAGAACAGUUUACAUCUGGUGUGGAAGUAAGGUGCGGAAGGAAGGGUGGAAAGAGUAAAGACACACGGUGCUGUCACUGAGGUGGGAUCAGUGUGGAGACACCAGGGUGGUUCUUAUGAGCUCUUUUCACCCCUGUCUGAUCAAGGUAGGGGCAGAGGCAAGAAAAGAGGGAGAAAACCAUAAAGUCAAAGCCUGAAUCUGAACCACUCAAUUGAGAAGAGGACACAUCUCUCCUAGAAGAGGGAGGCAAGGUGAAGCACACUCCUUCCCUCCUUGGGGAAGUCCAGCCUCUUUCAUGAACCAGCUGGGUGGUGUCCAACCUUUCGGGAGUUCAAGGGAUGCUGGCUAGAAAAGGGUGUGCUUUGGAUGGCUGUGUCUUCUUGAACCCUCCCGUGCCCUGCAGCUUGCCGCCCAGUGUCCUUUUCCCCCCAAUUUCUCUUCACCUGGCCCUCUGCACCAGAGGACAAGCUGAAGUCGGCUCGUCUUGGGGGAGGGACAGCAAGAGCAGGUGUAUUUUGGGGGAGUCGAGCUCGUGCUGACCCUCACAAGUCCCUUGUUCAGGAUUUGUGCUCUGUCCCGGGACCACACCAGAGGCUCUCACCAGCUUCCCCAGUUACAUGCCUUCUCCGAAUCCCCUAUCCUGCAGGCAGAAGUGGGCUGAGCUGCCACCGCCAGAUGCACUGCCAGGCCCGUCCAGGUGUGCAGAGAAGACACUUUUGCCUUAAGCUGGAACCAGUCAGCUCUCUCAGGACAAAGACGGGAUAAACCAGACAUGCUACCUGGUCUCCUUGGCCAGGCUAGGAAGGAACCCAAAGGGUGACGAGGGGCCAUUAGCACAGUCCGCAAUCUUUGAAAUGGGAAGGGGGAUGGCAGAGGUGGCUGUUGGAUGUGAAACUCCAGGAAUCCUGGCUGAUUAGGGAACACCUCUUUUUCUUAAGCACCAUCAGGUCCACGUGAGAAAAGCAAAGAAAAAGAACAUGGAGGAAGAUGAAAGGGAGAGGAAGGGUGAAGUAUGUUUACUGGAAGGACAUAAGAGCAUCCUGAUGUCAACUUAAAGGCCACCCACAUAAAAUCUUAUUGGCAGCAUUAGGGGAAAUUUUGGAGGAGAAAUAACAAAAUAUCACUCUGGCAGAUUCACAGUCCAAAAUGAUAAGCAGAUGAGAGAAAAGUCCUUUGGGGGACUGGAAGGGAGGGGGAAAGGCCAAAAAUAUGAACUGAUAGAAUAAUAUACUUGAAUAAAAUUGGUUUCUGAGUUCUCAUUUCUAAUCAAGAACAUGCGAGACCUCAUUUUGGAAGCUCCGAGCUAGCAUGUACGUACGUGUCUAUGCACUCAGACUAGAAGAGGACCCUCAAAUUGUCAAGCCUUUGUAAGGAAAGCCAGACAGAACACGCAUCAGUGCUGUGGUCUUUAGACACCCCUGCUUCUUAUCAACUGUUCUUCCCUAGGAAUUCUGCAGGUUUCCAGAGAUUGGGUUGCAAGCCAUUCCUCAGUUCAACUCUGACCCUCGAUGUCCGCUCUUAAGUAGUGAGCACAUCUUCUUUCACUAUGCUGCAGCUGGCUGCCAGGUCAAGAGUCUCUGCUGUUUUUUCUCAGAUUUCAAAAAACACCUCAUUCCUUAGUAGCUGUGGCAAUGACUUCCUGGGAUGUAGUGAAGUUGAUCUAUUUUUCCAAUCUAAUCAGAACACAGCGAUCAAUACCUGUCCCUGAUAGGGUCUCCUCCUGAGCAGUGUCAAUACCCAUUAGGGAAGCUGAUUAGAAUCUCAGCUCAGCUGGAGGCUGAGGAUAAAGUCACCAGCUCACAGCUCAUUUCCACGCUGAAGCUUUGCUCCCUCCUUCCUUCCCUCCCAGUGCUUGCAACCUCUACCCUGCUCCACGUUCAAAGCCCUGCCUGUCUCUUUUCCAAUGCUGCCUGGGGGCCACCUCCCCACCCAGGGUCUUUGCCCUUUCACUGGGCUCACACUAGACCCACAGGAGUCUUGCAAGAGCUGAGUGCUGCUCUGUGCAACAUGGCAGUGUGGUUUGUAAAUGCUUCUGACUUUGCUGGUCUCGUUUGCAGACCUGCUAUAAAGGAAAGCCUGCCUUGAACAGAACCAGAACUUCCUACUUCUGAGAGACCAGAAUCCAGAGGAGCUCAAAGGAACUAAUUUUUUUUUUUUUUUACUGAGGAAAAUUCCUUUGCUGUUGCAAGACAGAGUUCAAGACCAGGGACCAGCUCGUGCUAAGCAGCAAUGCAAUCAAUUUGUCUGUCUGGGGCGAAGAGGCAGAGUAGGCCAUGUCUGAGGAAGCCGAGGAAAGGUGGUUGAGGACCUGUGAAGCGGCAGCUCUAUUUCCUAUUAAAACAAUUUGUCUGAAGGCUGCCUACAACAAAUUACUUUCUAUCCAUUUCCCUAUGAGCUCCAAUUUCCACCUCUGCAGGUUUUAAUAUUCUUACCAAAACAUUAGGAGGGAAAGCAAUUGCAACACCACUCAAUUAUCCUUAAUACCAAACUCACUUUCCAGCAAGGAUGAGAAGUCAGUCUUGACGAGCUGAUGUUAAACAGUUUGAAUUGGAAGAAAACAAGAAUUUUUGCUCUUGAAUUUUUGAGGUUAAAAAGAAGGAAUUUUUGAAGCAGAAAUUCCAAGUAUAAGAAAUGUUCUGUUCUUCCUAAGAAUGAAUAAAUCACAGAAUUUUAAGCCAAGAGAAUUUAAAGGUAAUCUUGCCCAAGGUCACACGGCUAAUAGAAGAGCUGACCCCAGCACUGAUGUUCAGGUUCCUGGGGGUUUACCCUUUCAUGUCGCCUAUUCUCCCCUCACAGCUGCCUCAUUUACGGGGUCACAGGAAUCCAAAUCUUUGAGGGGGUCUGAACCUGCCUUAAAAAUCAGAAUAGUGAGAGAGAUCUGGGCUUAGAUUUGAGCAGGGACCUCUGACUGACGAGAUUGUGUGCCAAGGUAAGUGCAGUGUGGGCAUAAAUGAUGGGGUUCAGUGGCCCUGGUGGUAUCCAGAAGAGAAGGACUCUGGACUCCUGGUGAUCCCUCACUGUUCAGCUGCAGUAGUGACUCACUUGCUGGGGCAGACAGGAACUCCCCCUUUCCAUGGGCCUUGUUGCUGAACCUGUAGGCCUCCCUUUAAGGUGUGAAGUGGCUGGAAGCAGAAUAACACAACACGUAGAACAGUCUUCUCUUCCCCAGGUGUCUGCUCACCCAGGCCCAUCUCCUAAAGAGUGCCAACACUGUGGGGACCUUCUGCACAGUGGCCUGGCCAGAAACAACUGGCUUUUCUCUGAGAGGAGAUGGUGUCUUUCUUUGGCUAAGAGAUGCUGCAAAGUUGCCAGACAUCCAGAGGCACAGCAAAGUGCAUGGCUGAGAAUUUCUCCUUCCUCAUCUCUGAAAUCAGUUAAAUGCUCUUGGCGGAGAAGCAGCUGGUAGUUCACCCAGUCUUGUGUGGGAUCCACAGCUAUUAAGUAGGAUUGUAGCCUCCUUGCUUCCUGGUGUAACUGUCAAAUAAGCACAUGCUUUGUUUGGGAUAGGGAGAAGAAGUGAAAUGUUCCAAACAGAGAUAUGAAACCCACCAGCGGCCUCGAGAGCAUCAAAUGCAUCUAGAUCUCGUUAAACAUGGAAAAGCACAGAAGAGAAAUGCAAAUAUCCUGCAGCUGGAUAGACAGCAAGGGAGUAUCUAGGAGAUAGCCAAUGAGAUUGGCCUAGUGGAGAAUCGAAUGUUCUAAGGACACCUGGGACAUGUCUGUUGUUCAGAAUUGUUAGUAGCUGUACCCUGAGAUAUGCACAGCCUUAUGCUAGAGAUUAGGAUGGGGCUGGGGUCAUCACACCUGGGGCUUCUGAAAAGGACUGGGCUAUCUGAAAAGGAUCAGCAGCCUCUGAAAGACAAAUAGGCAAACUUUAGCCAGAGAAUCUCUGGAAUCCUCAAUCGUUACUCCCAAAGGUGUGGCUUGGCUAUUGAAAAAUAUCAAGUCAGUGGGAACAGAGGGUGUGAAGUUGAACUGAGAAAUUCUCUUUUCCAGACAGUCUUGACAGUCUUCCUGUCAAGACUAAAGUGACAGAGCUGAGCCUCUCGCUGCUGGCCAGCCUGCUGCUACUCACUUAGCUUGAGCUGCUGGGGUGCUCAUGAGUUCCCAAACCAGCAGGCAAGGAUGCAGAGGGCAGUGGAGACUGAGGAGACCAAUAGUAGGUAACUUGCUACUAAAAGGCCUACACCCAGCACCUUGUAUGGCUUCCAGUCAAUACAGCUGUGACGAAAGGACGUUUUAUUCUCUAUAGGAGAACAGGAUUCAGAAUGUUAUCUAAUAAAAUCAAUGGCAUAAGAACAAUUGCCUGAAAUAGUGAAUUCAGGAAAUUGUACCUUAGUGUGAACUAUGGUUCACACUUUCUGAGUUCUUGGCCAUAGAAUCCAGUAUUCCUGAGAUUAAAAAGCUUGUAAACUUCUUGACACAAGGAAAGACUCCUGGCAAGAAGAGACCUUUGACAUGAAAGGCUGCUGUAGAGCAGCGGGGGAGAGACACCAAUUCAAGAGUUUUGAGAACCUGCCUCCAAUACUUUAAAAGGCACAAAGGGAUCUGAGGGAAUUCUGCAAUUCCUUUACUCGGUCUAAGGAACUGAGAAGAAUAACAAAUAUUUCCUAAUAAUCUGGUUUUCUUUUCUUAAGAGGCAAUCAGCUCCACUUCCUCCAUAUCCAAGAGGCACCAGGAGAAUCAAUUAGCCAAUCCUUGUUGAUUUCUUUUCCCCCGAAUGAAGGAUAUGCUUACAGUGGAAGAUAUGGCACUUCUCACUCUAAUCCAGCAUUCCCUGAGAAUUGAGCUUACAAUACCCACAUUAUAAUAUAAAAUUCCAAGAUAGGAGCAGCUUCUCCUGGAAAAAAAAUGAAAAAAAAAAAAAAAAAGAGGCAGGAACAGAAGAGAGAAUCUUAUAUACUCUAAAAGUGAGGUUCUACCAGAGGAGGCAUGGCUACUAUUCUGGAACUGUUCCUGAAUUAUAGAUUCUGAGAAAAGAGCAUGGGCAUUCCAGAGGACUAUCGAGAACACCAUCGACACUUUCAGAAGACAAUGACAGACAGAGGUAUCACAGACUGCUCCCAGCACUGAGUAUCACUGGCAACCCUACAAUGAGGCUCUAAGUGACCUGCACACUCAAGGUGAACCAAGGGAUGCAACUCCUCCAAAAAGCAAAUACUAUAUGCCUUAAUUGUCUCAUGGAGAACUAAUGAUUGAACUGUGCGCUGGGGUUAUGGAGUACUCUGUGAAGGUCUGGGAAAGAUAUCUUAAAAGGCUGUUUUGUCUAAAGCAGGAUGGCCAAGAUGACAGGUAUGAAAAGCAUGUCACAUGAGGAGUGACUGAAAAGACUAGGGCAGUGUGGGAUUGAUGUCAGGUGAAGAAGAGACCACCAUCCACAUGGAUCUGAAGUGCUCUCACUUCAAGGAGCUAUGAAGGGUAGACAUGGCCUACAGGCAGACUUCAGCUGGUCUUAGGAGAAACUCUGAUUAGAGUUGCUCAAACCUCAAGUAGUAAGUGCACAGCCACCAGAGGCUAUCUAACUAUGGGUCAAAGCGGUAGCAGGGGUCCCUGUGACACAAAAAUGGAAAGCUGGACCAAAUGACCUCUGGGCCUUGCCACUCUAAAAUUCCAUGACCCUCAUCAUGCGUUAAAAGGACUUCUUCCCUUUAAACCUCAUCAAGCAACCAUGUCUCCUGAUAACUUCUAAGAAUGCAAAUAUCUCUUCCCUUAAUCUAACCACCAGAAACAAUCCAAUCCACCACUAUUCUCACAGCACAGUGGAACACUGUCUUCUCUGUCGUCAUGUUUCAGUGUCCUCAGAUACUUUCCUUUCACCAAAUAUGUAUUUCAACUUCCACCCUCUGCCCAGCUCCCAACAGUCUGCCCUCCCCACCUUACAGGUCUCCUUGCAAUGACUUCAUAUCUCAUUUGCAAGAGGCACCAGGUGAAGAGAGGAAAAUUCCCUCAUCAAAGAGAGAUCAGGCAGAAUGGGGUAUCUACUUUUCUGAUAAGGAAUAAGAUUUUCUAAUAAGAGCUAUUUUCUAAUAAGGAGCCCAGAUUUUCUAAUAAGAAAAACCAUUUUUCAGGGGGAAGAUAAGUGGAAAAUGUGAAUAGCAGGCUGACACUUCUGCCAUGGUCUCACUUUUUAUAGACAGGGCUCAUGAAGCACCAGAGUCAUGAUUUUCUAGUCUCCAGAGUAAUGAUCUUCCACAAUGGUCAAAACAAAACAAAACAAAACAAACAAAAAACCAAGGUCGAGUGCUCUGGAGGCAAGGGUGUGGGAGAGAAAGAACGAAAGGAUAGAAGGUAAAGGAAUAAGUGAGGCCAGGGCCAUCAGUGCCUUGGAUAAAGGUUAGGCAUGAGGGAAGAAGAGGGGUUAAGACUAGUCAGGAAUGGCUCUGGGUUGCUGAGGAGAAAAUAUAAGCCAGUUCCUGAGAGGUGAAGAACAGAGAGCUUCAGUGCGGUCACUGUCCCCUGCACUCCAAAGAAACACAGCUCCAGAGGCUGAUGAUUAAUUCCACAUCCUGCCAUUUCUCUUGGCACCCCAGACAGGAACCUGGAGUGGUACCACAAGACUCACUUAUAUUAAAGGAUACUGGGUCAGCAUAAAGGCUAGGCAUGUCUUAUGUGUUUGGACCAAAUCCAAUGUGGACAAAGUAGGAGAGCAGCAGGAAGCUUAGGUCCAUAGCUGAGCUUGGUGUGCUCCGAGGGGUCUUUUCCAGAUGGCUCCAAUGAUCACAAUCAUGCUUCAAUUAAAACUGUCAUAAAACUUGGGGUGAGGGUGUGGGAGGAACAGGGCAUUGAGAGUGCAGAGAAAAUGUACAGUGCAGAGGAUGUGACUGAAGAGGGUCAGAGAGAAGUGUCCCCUUCCUUCCACCAAAACAUUCACUUCUUUUGGCUGGAAGGCAAUGGCUGGAAAUGAGGGGCAGGGCAGCAGAUGCCUUCUCACACCUGGAGCCUUGUCUAUUUGGACAGUUUGCUGAUCACUCUGAUGAGGGCGCCAUUUUCAUCUUUCAGCCUCUGGUUGUCAGAUUUCAGUUCUGUUAACACCUGUAGGUGACAGAGCGAAAAGUGUGUUAGAACCUGGUGCAACUGCUUCCCCUACCCUCCUGACCAGGCACGGCUGGCAGGGGAGCAGGGCCUUCUGAGAAUGUGCAUGUAAUGAGCUGUCAUCCCCUCUUCUCCCAGAAACAAAGUUCCAUUGACUCUUCCUACUUACUCAGUUGGUGGUGUUCAUAUUUAGAGAUAGCAGCCCCUCACCUUUUGAGCUGGAAGAUUAGUAACACAGGCUCACGUUCCACACUAGAUAUCCUUUUACUCUAUUGAGUCAAUGGCUAUUUUCAAUUAUUCCUUGAACUCACCUCUAGUCUAGAUAAACUGGAGAGUGCCAAAGUAGGCUAAUGAGGACAUAGGGAAGGAAUUCAGAAAGGAGUUGUUGGUGAUCCAAAAGAGUUAAAUGAGGACACUGCUUCACAGCCAGUGAAAAAAAAGAAUGCAGGCUGAGGGACAGAACUUGCCUUUUCUGCCAUGUGCACAAGAUGAUUUAAGGGCCCUCCUUCCACCAAAUCUCAAUGGUCAUACUACACAUACCCACUUUCAAUCACUAAACCCCAGGGAACUCACAGAUGUGGUCACACAGCUGCAAGACACAGUGGACACUAGGCACACAGUGGACACUAGGCAUACUCUCCACCCAUAGUUAUCAAGAAAAACCUAGAGGCCUUAGAGCAGUUUUAGGAGAUAGUGUUAUAAUUCCAGGAAACAGAUGCUUAUAGAGAGAGAGAGGCGGUGGCGAUUCAAUUCUAUUAAUUCUACUAUCUUUGAAGUUUGCCCAUCUUGUGGAACAAAGGAAAAGUAAGCUCCAGCUUAGAUAUCCAAGUCUUUAUUAUGUCAUCAAAGCACUUUGAUAAAUACGUUAUGCAUUAGAAACAGCCUAAUGGACUGUUGAUAAAGGUAGUUUUAUGUGUGGGCCUCACUGAUAGCAAGAUUUAGGUUGGAGGGUAAGUACCUCUUUGCCAGGGAAGCUACAGAAAUUGACAUCUUUGCUGUCAGUGCAGAUGUUGCAGGAUUAUCAGUCAUUUAAACCUAAAGGACCCCUGUGGCAGGCAGGCAACACCCUCAGAAACAGGUGGCCUGGGCCCAGGUGUUAUGAGACCUAUUAGUUCUAGCGCUUGCCUCUGCUACGACCACUUAGGGAUCUAACUUUCCCUCAGCGUUGCAGGGAGGCAGGCUACUUACACAAAGUCCACCUGUGCACGUACAGACGUGUAGCAUACACGCAUAAACAACCAAAAAAAAAAAAAAGAAUUUGUAACGGGAACAAAAGGAAAAACCCCAAGGAUCUCUGAGGUGGGAAGCAGUGUGCUAUUGGGUCUCACUAGGGCCUCGUGAAUCUGAGAUACACUUCUAUUCUUAUUUCUACAAAUGAGGGAAUGAAGAGUUCAUAACUAGACCAAGGCGUCAGGCUACUUAAGUGGCACAGCUGAUAUUGGUCUCAGGUGUGCCCAGCUUCAAAGACCAUUCUUUCAUUACAGGUGGAGGCAGGGGUGGGAAAACCCCAAACCCCAGGAACAGCCUCAGUCUGGAAACAGAGCCCAGCAUAGCCUUCACCAUUAAUGAUCUGUAUUACUUUAGGCAAACCACGUCUCUGCAUUUCCAUUUUUGUGUGUAUAAACCAUUCUACUCCCUCAGAAGGUAGGGACGUGGUGGGGCAACAGGAGGUGAGAGUAUGGGGGUGUGUGGACAUCUAGAAUGUGCUUUUGGAUACUGGGUACUCCUGGGCCACUAGGAGUUUGCCCAUGAAUAUUCGAGGGUGGGCAAACAGUCUACAGGCCUUACAUAGAUGACUUUCAUUCAGAAAAUGUCAAAAGAAAGUUCCAGACCUUUGACCCUGCCUUUCUUCCCUCUAACUCAACUAGGAAGGCUCUGGCUGCCUCCUCAUGCCUCCAUCCCUGCAGGUGUACCCAUCAGAAUCCAGUGCUCAGAAACUCAUCUUAAUCAGAGUUUCAGAAAACAGCCCAGGGUGGCCUCACAGUGUUUCACCUUCCCACCUCUUUCCUAUGUCCCAUCCUGUGGACUGCAGGCUGGAUGAGACUAUGAAAACCAUAUUUCCAUGACAGGACUCCACAGGCGGGAAGCAGCUAUACAUGGCAGUGGAUUACGGUUCAGUGCCUAGUGUCUCGUCCAAUCAGAACUGAGUUGCCUUUUUUUUUUUUUUUUAAAUGUACAAACAACUCAUUGAGCUUUGGUGAUUUAUUUCUACAUUAAGAACUCAAUUCCUUGGGAAAAAAAAAUUGAACAAGGCAAUUUCACAGCUGCAACAUGCUACAAUUGAUAUCUUAAGGGAUUGUCAAAAAGUACAAGAGGAAUGUAGAAAUUGAGGGAGGGAAGCCUCAUAAACCUCACUCUCAAAAGAGAGAAGGGGAAAUGAACGUGUUAUCUGAUGUUUUCUUGAAGUUAAAGAAUGAUUAAAUAAGAACAUAUGUGAAAGCACUAUAUGAGGAUGUUAACAAAGCUUUAUCAUUUUAACUCUCUGAACCUCAGCUUCAUAAUUUCUUGAUUUCUAGCUUACCACAGUUUGAGGUAUAGAAAGUUGGACAAAUAAGUACAGAUUUCCUCAAAUAUUACUUCUUAUAGCCUACUGAGAAAAGUGUUAAAGAAAAAGGGGACACGGGGGCCUGCAAUUUCAGAUAGCUCCAGGGCAAGGCUGGCUGAAGGCAAGAGGGUUUCAGAUCAGUCUUGCCUCAAUUUCUUUGUUUCCAACUACAUGGGAGGUGGGAAGGGAAUCCUCCCUUUUAUUUUGUUAGUAAGUGGCUUGUACUACAUGCUGAGGUAAGUUUUCUCCAGGGACUAUUAUUAAAAAAACCCAACCAACCAACCAAACAAACAAACAAAGAAAAGGGCAGGGUGAAAAAUCUCUUGAUCACACUGCCAGUUUGGCUUAGUUAUCUCAUUUUUCCUUCUAGUGGGGGUCAGCAAGGUUUUUCUGUAAACAUCUCAGGGUCUGCAGGCCACAUAGUCUCUGUUGCUGUAGCACAAAAGCAGCCCCAGACAUAAUAAUAUUACAUAAACAAAAGAGCAUGGCUUGGUUCCAGUAAAACUUUAUUUUUGGACAUUAAAAUUUGAAUUCCAUGUAAUUGCAUGUGUUAUGAAAUACUCUCCUUUUGAUUUCUUUUUUGGCUAUUGGUAGGGCUCAUGGGCCAUAGGAGUGGGUCAUAGUUUGCAAUCUGUUCUACAGAAGGUCAUGUACCAGGCAAUGGCAUUCCCUACAGUGGGCAGAAUCUUGGCAGGGAAAUGUUCUUUGAAAGUUAACCUUUCGCAGGGAAGUUGGAGUGCUGAGAAGGCAGAAGUCUGUCCCUCAUCCCUCAGCUGCAGUACUGGGUACUGUAGUUGCUUAAUAGAUCCUUCUUGCAUGUUUUGGCCAUAUGCUUAACAAACGGCCAAAACUUUGUGCCAAAUAAGCAGACAGUUCCAAUCACAGGGCGAAGAACAUGGACUCUGGAACCUAACAUAGGUAAUGUGAAUUUUGGUUCUACCACUAACUCUCUGAGCGACCUUGGACACAUAAUCUGUGACUGUAUUUUUAAAAAAAUAUGUACAAUAAUUCUGAGGAUUCAAUGAGAAAAAGCAUAUAAAGCACUCAGCAUAAGCCCUAACUGACUUUAUCAUGGUUAUUAACCACUGAAAGGAUGAGAUCUAAUUUUUCCCAUAUCCUAUACUAUCUUGCAACAAAGAGGGGAAAAUAACUGGGACAUCUUUUGGGGGUCUCUACUUUGUCCCAAGUUGAAUUUUCCAGGAAUCUGUGUGCGCACAAGUAUGUGCGCAUGCACACUGGGGAUUAAUUGAACCUAGGGCCUUAUACAUACUAAGUAUGUGCUUUACAACUGAGCUAAAUCCCUAGUCCCUUUUCCAGGAAUCUGGAGGCUAAUUUUAAAGCAUGGAGGUAGGCAGGCCUAACAGUGGCUGCUCACUGCCAGCCCAUGGUAGCACUUCCCUUUCAAUUUUCUUUCAGCCUGUGAUAGCAUCUGCAGCAGGAUAUUAGCUCAGCCCUUAUGGUAAUUUGGGUGCUUCAGUUCUAGUGGAUAUUAGUUGCCAGCUACUGACCCUGAAGGCAAAAGCAAAUAGGCAGGGAAAAAAAAAAAAAAAAAAA